rnacentral:rRNA from 1 species
AGCGAACGCUGGCGGCAGGCCUAACACAUGCAAGUCGAGCGGCCGUAGCAAUACGGCAGCGGCAGACGGGAGAGUAACACGUGGGAACGCGCCCUUCGGUCUGGAAUAACCCAGGGAAACUUGGGCUAAUACCGGAUACGCCCUUACGGGGAAAGAUUUAUUGCCGAAGGAACGGCCCGCGUCCGAUUAGCUAGUUGGUGAGGUAACGGCUCACCAAGGCGACGAUCAGUAGCUGGUCUGAGAGGAUGACCAGCCUCACUGGGACUGAGACACGGCCCAGACUCCUACGGGAGGCAGCAGUGGGGAAUAUUGGACAAUGGGCGCAAGCCUGAUCCAGCCAUGCCGCGUGGGUGAUGAAGGCCCUAGGGUUGUAAAGCCCUUUCAGCGGGGAAGAUAAUGACGGUACCCGCAGAAGAAGCCCCGGCUAACUUCGUGCCAGCCGCCGCUGUAAAAC